rnacentral:rRNA from 1 species
UGGGGGAAAAUUAAUAUAAAAAAAAUAAAUAAUAAAAAUAAUUAUAAAAAAUAAUUAAUGGGGGUUAAAGUAUUUUUUAGAAAAAAUUUAUUAAUUUAUAGUUUAAUAGUAUUGUGAAAGAAUUUUGAAAUAAAGUUAAAUAUUAAUUAUUAUUUAAGUAAAUUUAAUUUAUUGUAUCUUGUGUAUCAGAGUUUAUUAAAAAAUAUUUUUAAAUAAAAAUAUCUCGAAUUUAAAAGAGAUAAUUAAUUAUUAAAGUUAAUGUGGCAUAAUUAUUUUAAAUAAUUAAUUUGAAAUGAAAUGUUAAUCGUUUUUAAAAAUAUCUAGUUUUUUUAGAAAAAAAUUUAAUUUUAAAUUAAUUUAAUAAUUUUUUUUAAAUUUAUUAUAUAAAAUUAUAUAUUUAAUUAAAUAUUUUAGGGGAUAAGCUUUAAAUUAAAUUUUUAUAAUGUUUAAUAAAAUAUUUAAAUAUUUUAAAAUUUAUAUUUUUUAUAAAUUAUAAUUUUUUAUAAAUAAUUUUAUUUAUUUUAAAAUUUAAAUUUAUAUUUAAAUUUAUAUAAAAAAAUAAUUUUUAGCAAUAAAAAAUUAGUUAUAAUGAUAAAAUUAGUAUAUAAAAAAAAAUAAAAUAAAAUUAAUUAAAAUUAAUAAAAAGGAAUUCGGCAAAAAU